CCUACGGGUGGCAGCAGUGAGGAAUAUUGGUCAAUGGGCGCGAGCCUGAACCAGCCAAGUCGCGUGAGGGAGGACGGCCCUACGGGUUGUAAACCUCUUUUGCCGGGGAGCAACGUGCGCCACGUGUGGCUUCACUGAUAGUACUCGUAGAAAAAGCAUCGGCUAACUCCGUGCCAGCAGCCGCGGUAAUACGGAGGAUGCGAGCGUUAUCGGGAUUUAUUGGGUUUAAAGGGUGCGUGGGGGGAUCGUAAAGUCGGUGGGAAAAUUGGGGGGCUAAACCCCUUCCCGCCAUUGAUACUGGCGUUCUUGAGUGGAAGAGAGGUAUGCGGAAUGCGUGGUGUAGCGGUGAAAUGCAUAGAUAUCACGCAGAACCCCGAUUGCGAAGGCAGCAUGCCGGCUUCCGACUGACGCUGAAGCACGAAAGCGUGGGGAUCGAACAGGAUUAGAUACCCCAGUAGUC
rnacentral:rRNA from 1 species